rnacentral:sRNA from 1 species
GACCACUCCUUAACGGAGUUAAGGCCAUACGGACAGCCGGGUCCACUGCCGA